rnacentral:rRNA from 1 species
GCCAAAGUAGAUAUUAGUAACGUCCUAAGGUGAAACCUGCUCAGUGGCCUAGUAAAACAAUGCUAAAUAAGCAUUAAUUUAGGUUAAACAGCCGCCUUAAUCCUCAAGGGUGCGAAGUAAGCAUAAUCGGAUACCGUUUAAUUGGCGGAGUGUUGAAUGGAUUCACGAGGGCAAAGCUGUCUCAAGUUAAGAUAUAGAUAAACUAGAUAUACAAGUGAAGAAGCUUUUUUAAGUAGUAAGACGAAAAGACCCCGUGAAGCUUAACUAUAAGUCUCCUUCUAGCGGGGCUAAGGUAAAACCAAUCUUAAUAAUUUUGUAUUGCUUUACAAUCUUAGUCUCCCAUAGGUUUCUUGGUAGUUUUGAUGGGGUGUCAGCACGUUAAAGAGAACAUGGAGUUAAUUUCGAGACUAGUGUAAUCAACCUAUUUACACAGGAGGAUAACCUGAUCAAGUGACCCGCCUCUAUAAGUAAAAUAUAGACGACAAAGGAUGAUAGCUACUCCGGGGAUAACAGGGUAAUUGAUCUUCGUAGUCGUUAUGUGGGGGUCAGUUUACCACCUCGAUGUUGAAUUAAGCUUUCCUGGGGGGGGAGAAAGUCCCAAGGGUAGGACUGUUCGUCCUUUAAAUAGCUU